UGUUGUCUUGGCUUGAACCGAAUCAUUGUAGCCGAGAUUGUGUACAAAUUCCUAGAAAGUAGACUGUGGGACGUGUGGAGGAGAUGACCACGUCAGAGACAGCUGGGGCCAGUCUGAGGAAUGUCGCGCCCUGGGUCAGCAGCACUGCCGAUCAGUCAGGGUCACCAGACAGGUCAUCUGGUAUAUUUUACUUAAUAGGCAGAAAGAAUGCAUCUCCUGAACGGGAACCAGGGUAGAAACUGAAGUUAACUGAUGUUUGGUCUCUUCCAAGGUCUUAGGAAAAACAUCGAGCGCUGGUUGAUCUACCAGAGAAUGCGAGAGACGCGAAGAACAGAUUUUGUGCGAGACACCGUCCUCUGGACAUUCACAGUGGCGCGACCCGGACACACAAAGCCCCAGGAUGGACAUGAUGGGAAACAGUUCGCUUGCUUUCAUUUUCAAAUAAAUGUAUAGGGGGUUUUGGCCAUGAUGCUGAUCAUGGCCUUCUUCCGGAAACAUGUGACAAGUGGCAUUCCUGAGAAUGAAUGAAAAAGACUGUGCUACAGACCCAAAGCUGUGAGCAGUAGGCACUCUGUCCACAACCUCAAUCUGAGAAAAUCACUUCCACAAAGGAUCUUUUAUGAAGAAUGUGAUCUGAUGAGACUUUGGGAGACUGGGGAGCCUCAGGAAAAAUGGCCUUGUCAUAUGUCUUUUGUUCUGCUCGACUUCAGAGUUCUGUCUUGAUUUUGUGAUUCCAUGUUUAAUGUGUGAAAGGAAGCUGAUUGGAAUUUGAAAACUGAUUGAAGUUGGUAGGUCUUUGACUUUGUUUCUCAGCGUUCCCCUCAUCCUCCCCCUCCCUUUCUACCCAUUGAGAAGCCACAAUAGAGAGAGUUGCAAGAGUCCUUGGCAGUCACUUCCACCAGGCAGUUUUGCCUAUGUUUGUCACCCAGUGUGCCUCAUGCGUCCCCCACCUGCUUGCAUGGUGUCCUCUAAACGUUGUUGGGGCUCCAAUUGCACCGCAUUGUGCUGUUAGCUUAGCUGUCUGUGUGUUCUUCCCUACAUUAGACCUUCUUGAGGACAGAAAAUGUUUUGUCUUCUCACUAGGUCCUAGCAUAUGGCACAUGAUAUUUACUAAAUAAAAAAUAUAUUGAGUA